UACGUAGGUGGCAAGCGUUGUCCGGAUUCAUUGGGCGUAAAGAGCUCGUAGGCGGCCACUCAAGUCGGAUGUGAAACCUCGAGGCUUAACCUCGAGCCUGCAUUCGAUACUGGGCGGCUAGAGUCUGGUAGGGGGAUCUGGAAUUCCUGGCGUAGCGGUGGAAUGCGCAGAUAUCAGGAGGAACACCGGUGGCGAAGGCGAGUCCCUGGACAACACCUGACACUGAGGCACGAAAGCGAGGGGAGCAGACAGG
rnacentral:rRNA from 1 species